UACGGAGGGUGCGAGCGUUGUCCGGAAUCACUGGGCGUAAAGGGCGCGUAGGCGGCUGGGGAAGUCGGCGGCGAAAGCCCGGAGCUCAACUCCGGGUCGGCCGUCGAGACUCCUCGGCUCGAGCUCACUAGAGGCAGAUGGAAUUCCGGGUGUAGCGGUGGAAUGCGUAGAGAUCCGGAAGAACACCGGUGGCGAAGGCGGUCUGCUGGGGUGAGGCUGACGCUGAGGCGCGACAGCGUGGGGAGCAAACAGG
rnacentral:rRNA from 1 species